AACGUAGGUUCCGAGCGUUAUCCGGAUUUACUGGGCGUAAAGCGCGUUCAGGCGGUUCGGCAAGUCGGGCAUGAAAUCUCUCGGCUCAACCGGGAGAGGUUGUCCGAUACUGCUGGACUUGAGGGCAGUAGAGGGUGGUGGAAUUCCGGGUGUAGCGGUGAAAUGCGCAGAUAUCAGGAGGAACACCGAUUGCGAAGGCAGCUCGCUGGGACGUUACUGACGCUGAGACGCGAAAGCGUGGGGAGCAAACAGG
rnacentral:rRNA from 1 species